AAAGCGUGCGCAGGCGGUUAUACAAGACAGGCGUGAAAUCCCCGGGCUUAACCUGGGAAUGGCGUCUGUGACUGUAUGACUAGAGUGUGUCAGAGGGGGGUAGAAUUCCACGUGUAGCAGUGAAAUGCGUAGAUAUGUGGAGGAAUACCAAUGGCGAAGGCAGCCCCCUGGGAUAACACUGACGCUCAUGCACGAAAGCGUGGGGAGCAAACAGGAUUAGAUACCCCUGU
rnacentral:rRNA from 1 species